UACGUAGGUGGCAAGCGUUGUCCGGAAUUAUUGGGCGUAAAGCGCGCGCAGGCGGCCUCUUAAGUCUGAUGUGAAAGCCCCCGGCUCAACCGGGGAGGGCCAUUGGAAACUGGGAGGCUUGAGUUCGGAAGAGGUUGGUGGAAUUCGUGGUGUAGCGGUGAAAUGCAUAGAUAUCACGAAGAACACCAGUGGCGAAGGCGGCCAACUGGACUGACACUGACGCUGAGGUGCGAAAGCGUGGGUAGCAAACAGG
rnacentral:misc_RNA from 1 species